rnacentral:lncRNA from 1 species
GGGGCUCUCUCAGGGAAUAAGACCAACUAGACCUCAUCUUCACUGAAUUUAUCGUCCAGCAAGUAAUAAACAUAAAGAGUGGUGAGUGAGAAGAACACAGUGUGACAGGAGCACAUUGCAGGACAAUUGAACAUAUUUUAGGAGUUGGGGAAGAUUGGCACCAGAGGAUGGGAAAACAGCAGCCUCUGACCUUCCAUUUCUUAGAGGUUUCAUGAACUGGACUGCCAAGCAACAUUUGGAUUUUCAGUACUAGGGACAACUCAUAGGUACCUGCUUAGAUUCUGAGUUGGCUCCAUCUAAUGAGAUCCUGAGGACACAUCAGGGCCCAAGAGGAGCUGAUUCACUGGAAGUUCAGGGCACUCUGGUUUUUCCAAGCAGGCUAGGACAGCAUGGAAGUUUAAACUCUCAGUACAGUGAAGCAUGAGCCAGAGAUGGAGUGCCUACUCUCUUUGAUUUGAGUGAAACAUUUACUUAUGAGAAGUAGAUUCAGCAUCUGAGUCACCAGACACUGAAAUAUUACAGCAAAGAUCUUUACGUGUUUCCUACCUCAUCACUACAUACCCACUCAUCUGAGAUGUGUGAUGCUUGACACGGACAGAACUCAAACUGUCUUUUACUACCUAUGAAGGAAGAAAUGAUGAUAGAUCAUAAUUGAAACAACCUACUGAGGAGAGGAAGCUGUUUUCAAGCACCUUCAAGAACUUUAAAAGGGCUCGUUUUAUCAACAAUGUUAAUUAAAAAUCAUUCUUAUUAAAGCAAUUCCUCUAAUUUUCUCUACCAGAUAAAAUUGUAUUAGGCCACUUUCAGUGACAAGAUAUGCUUGACAGAAGAAAAAAGUGUUAAAAUGUUUUACGAAUGAGAUUUUAACUCUUCAGAAUAAGUUUUACAUGCAUUGAUUUUUUUUUUAAGUAAAGUGUUACAUAUUCUAACACAAUUUCACCCCACCCACCCCCUUAAAGUCAAUGAGGAUAUUUAUCUCCUCUCAAUAUAAGGUUGUUUUGUUUUGUUGUUUUGGGGGUUGGGUUUUUUUGUAAAAACUUUUGGAUAUUUUUCCAAAACUAAUGCCAAACAUUUCUUCAUUAUAUCCUAAAAGAAUCACUUUCAUCAAAGUAAAUGUUCAUGAUAAAUGUUAUUAAGUAUAACCAGAAUAAUAACUAAAAAUAGCUCAAAUUGUCUAGCUACAUUUUGUCAACAAUCUUGCUCUAGCCAAGUUCCCCAUUCAUUGCACAAUCUAUAUUUUGGGAAGGACAGAACAUAAUUGCUUCCAAACAAAAUUUCAAGCCUGUGUACAUUUCCUUCCCACCAUCAGUUUCAGUUAAAUGAAUUAAUCUUUGAAAAGGGGGAAAUGCAGAAAGCAGGACUUCUCCCAAAAACACAUUUAAUGUGUAUUUUAUCAAGGGCUUUAAUUAUAAAGUUGUAAUGGGUGAUUUUUGUUAUAAUCAUCACUGGAGAGAUUUCAGUGUUUUAGAGCAGAGAUCCCCAACUCCUGGGCCACAGACCAGUACCAGUCUAUGGCCUGUUAGGAACUGGGCUGCACAGCAGGAGGUGAGCAGCAGGUGAUCAAGUGAAGCUUCAUCUGUAUUUACAGUUGCUCCUCAUCGCUUGCAUUACUGCCUGAGCUUUGUCUCCUGUUAGAUCAGCAACGGCAAUGAGUGGCAGCAUUAGAUUCUCACGGGAGCACAUACCCCAUUGUGAACUGCCCACAUGCAAGGGAUCUAGGUUGCACACUCCUUAUGAGAAUCUAAUGCCUGAUGAUCUGUCACUGACUCCCAUUACCCCCACAUGGGGCCAUCUAGUUGCAGGAAAAUGAGCUCAGGGCUCCCACUGAUUCUACAUUAUGGUGAGUUGUAUAGUUAUUUCAUUAAAUGUAAUAAUAAUAGAAAUAAAGUACACCAUAAAUGUAUUGUGCUUCAAUCAUCCCAGAACCAUCCCCUGCUCUCCUGGUCUGUGGAAAAAUUGUCUUCCACUAAACCAGUCCCUAGUUCCACAAAGGUUGGGGUUUGCUGUUUUACGAUGUUACUUUCAUCUUUCGCCUUAGCAUACCUUGUUCAGACAAGCAGCAAACAGCAAAUGCUAACCUGAUGAAAAGAUACUUAAUCGUACUAAGGCAUAAAAGCAAACCCAAAAAAUAUUUCUAAUAUACUUGAGGCAAUGCUACAUAAAAAUUUUUGUUAGCUUAUUCAAUUGCCUCUUCUAAAGUACAAGUAUGUGAAUUACUCAGCUAGGACACAAGGCACAUUUUUUCUGAGUUGGCAAAUCUUAUUUUAUGGACUAUUCUAGUACCCUUUUAAAAUUCAUCAAAUUUUAACAUUCAAAGCAUAGUAUAUGGAUAUUUAGGGAAUAUGAACAAGUAUAAAAUACAGUUCUUACUCUCAAUCUGAUUACAUCCUAUCAUGGAAAAUAAUCUUCCUGUGGGUGCAUUUUGUCUCAGCUGAAGCCAGACUUCUCCAAUAAUAAAUCACCUACAAUUCAGAGCCAACACUAGACAUGUGAAGAAUUAAAGGCCUGGCAAAUAGAGGUGGCAGAGAGAGGAGUGGUAACAGUGAUAGAUCUGAACUUCUUACCAGAUCCUGACUUGUUACCAGUGAAAAGGUCCUUGAAAUGGAAUCCUUAAAAGAUAAGUCCAUGUAUCCCAGAACUUAAAGUAAAAUUUUUUUAAAAAAAGUUAAAAAAAAGAUAUGUCCUACACAGUGAUUUCUGUAAUAAAGUACACUACAUUUUACAUAAAGUCUUAUUUCUCACAACACUUUGGUGGAGCUCUUUGCAAACAAAUUAACACAUGAAAGAGGUCAGUAAUUUGCUUGAGGUCAUGUAGUUUAUUGAGUGACAAGUUCAGCAAUUAAGGAAUUAUACAAAACAUGUAUGAGUUUUUAAUACUAUUUUGGCUUAAAUGUGAUUAUUUUUGCAUCCUAGAGAUAUAUAUAGGCAUGGGAAAAAAGCCAUGUGUGUAUCAAUGUCAUUAUAGAUCUUCUCUGGAUAAGACUUGGAAUGAUAUUUUCUUCUUGUUUAUGUGUAUUUAUAAUUUAUAAUGAUUGCGUUUUGCUUAUGUCAUAAGAAAUUUUAAGAAUAAAAUUAAAUAGUAACAAUUAA